GACACACCCUCUCUGUCCAUGUGAGCGGAGGCUGAGACAAAAGGACCUACACCCUGUUGUUCAUAACAGCAUGCGAGCGUCAGGAAGGGUGAAGACGUGUGUUCACUACUCUCCCCUAAGAAAAAGUCUACACUACAAAAAGAAAAGACUCAAACGGACAGAGAGGCGACGCUAAAAGCCAAAAGAUCUGACCUGUCUAUCCUCAAGUCAUUAUACUCCACUUGCUCUUUGAAACGAAAAAAAGAACGAAAAUAAGAUAGGCUAAAAAAAAAAGCCAAGCAUCAUGGGAAGAGGUGGAAGUGAGAUAUGGGACGGAGCGUUGGAGGACACAGUGCAAACUCAGCCUAAGAAACAGGAGGAGGAGAAGACGACGCCGACGACUAAAAGCUCGGGCAAAAGCUGUCCCAAGUGCUGCUUGCAGACAAGGAAGUGUCUGAUGAGCGCAGAGUGCGGCAGGGCCCUUCAGAUCUCCAGCGUCGUCGCCAUGUGUGGAAUGUGCAUCCGCAUGUUCGUAUAACCCAGCCAUGGACUUCAGGAAGAGCUUUUUCCAGGCUGCGCUGAUUCUCAGCAAGCCCCAGCACACUUCAGGAGAUUCAUGCCAAAUGGGUUUCUACUCCUCUGAGAUGAAAUCCGGUUCUUUUAGCUCAAUUUCAUCAGCAGAAGAUCUCUUCAUUCUCUAGCCACAAGUUAUUAGUUUAACAAAAGCAUUGCCUGUAUGCAAAACAAACUAGAAAGACAAUCAUUAUGAAUGAAUGAAUGAAUGGAUGGAAGGAUGUCCCUUUGAUCUGCAUAUCUUUGUUAAAAGUUUUUUUUGGGAUGAUUUCUGAUUGAUCAAAAUGCUCCAGUAUUUACUCAAUGCAGAUGUUUACCUUUAUAUUUAUUGUUUUCAAUAAUAUUAAUAAUAUAUAUUAUGAUGGUAGUGCUGAUAUGUGAAUAAAUGUGUAUAUACAUAUAUAUAUUAUACAGUGUAACCCCAACAUUCUAUUUUAAAAUAUGAGUAAGAUGACCAGAUGGUGGGGUUGGGGGGGACGACUGUGACACAUCGGAACUAAUGGAAAACUUCUAAUAAAGCUUUCAUUAACAACAAGGA